rnacentral:rRNA from 1 species
UACGUAGGGCGCAAGCGUUAUCCGGAAUUAUUGGGCGUAAAGAGCUCGUAGGCGGUUUGUCGCGUCUGCCGUGAAAGUCCGGGGCUCAACUCCGGAUCUGCGGUGGGUACGGGCAGACUAGAGUGAUGUAGGGGAGACUGGAAUUCCUGGUGUAGCGGUGAAAUGCGCAGAUAUCAGGAGGAACACCGAUGGCGAAGGCAGGUCUCUGGGCAACAACUGACGCUGAGGAGCGAAAGCGUGGGGAGCGAACAGG